AUAUGGCAGGUCCGUUCUUACAUACUUGCUUCCUUUUGCUUCCUAAAGCUCUUGUUCAGAAAUAGCCUGAAGCUGAGUUUGUGUUUUGUAGAAGGAGUGUUCUCACUGGUUGGUGAUUUCUGCAUGGACCUGGGAAGAGGACUGGAAAGGACACAUAACACAUGCAUGUAAUCCUCAGUUCAAGUGUAACCUUUGUUAGGACUGAGACUUUUCUCAGAAAGCAAUUCUGGGUCUAUAAAAAUGCUACAAAAGCAGAAAGGAUGAUGAUUUGGCAUGUACAAAGGUAAGGCCAGCAAUUAGGAGAGUAGAGGCUCAUCAAUUGAGUUCUUUCCAGAGAGGGACCUUGUAAGACUGACUUUGGAAUAUGACUGCAUUCUGCUGAUUGUAAAGGACGAAAAGGAUACUGACAUGACAAUGAAGAGACUGAAGAAGUAUCAUCAAUGGAUAAAGCAAAACAGAAAUAGCAGCUGCCUGGACCACGCCUAGAAAGGAAUCAUUUUGCCUGGCAGAAGCAUGAAACAGUUCCAUAUUUGAGAUGGCAUUUACCACUGAGGAAAGGAACUCAAGGGUGUAUUUCAGCAAAAUAAAGAAGUAAAGUACUAGAGCCAUCACUCAGAGAACAAAUGACGAGACCAGAUGCUAACAACAAACGUUGUGUGACUUCCUAUCUCCAGCCACUUCUGAAGUCAGAUCUACUUUCUUGAAUGCAGCUUCAGUGUCACUCCUUCUAAGAGAUCUUCCUCAACCACCCAGUUGAAAGUAUCCAUCUAGUCUAUGCAGCCAUAAAAAACGAUGAGUUCAUGUCCUUUGCAGGGAAAUGGAUGAAACUGAAAACCAUCAUUCUGA